rnacentral:rRNA from 1 species
AGAGUUUGAUCCUGGCUCAGGAUGAACGCUGGCGGCGCGCCUAAUACAUGCAAGUCGAGCGACGAAACCGAAGUGGGUAACCACUUCGGCUGAAAGCGGCGAACGGGUGAGUAACACGUGGGUAACGUGCCCCGAACUCAGGAAUAACAACGGGAAACCGUUGCUAAUGCCGGAUGACCCCUGCAGAUCGCAUGUUCAGCAGGGCAAAGAAUUUCGGUUCGGGAUCGGCCCGCGGCCUAUCAGCUUGUUGGUGGGGUAACGGCCUACCAAGGCAGUGACAGGUAGCUGGCGUGAGAGCGUGGCCAGCCACACUGGGACUGAGACACGGCCCAGACUCCUACGGGAGGCAGCAGUAGGGAAUCUUGCGCAAUGGGCGAAAGCCUGACGCAGCGACGCCGCGUGAGGGAUGACGGCUUUCGGGUUGUAAACCUCUUUCAGCAGGGACGAAGCCUCACGGUGACGGUACCUGCAGAAGAAGCCCCGGCUAACUACGUGCCAGCAGCCGCGGUAAUACGUAGGGGGCAAGCGUUAUCCGGAUUUAUUGGGCGUAAAGCGCGCGUAGGCGGCCGACCACGUCGGAUGUGAAAGCUCAGGGCUCAACCCUGAGAGGCCAUUCGAUACGGGUCGGCUAGAGGCAGGUAGGGGAGAAUGGAAUUCCUGGUGUAGCGGUGAAAUGCGCAGAUAUCAGGAGGAACACCGGUGGCGAAGGCGGUUCUCUGGGCCUGUUCUGACGCUGAGGUGCGAAAGCUGGGGGAGCAAACAGGAUUAGAUACCCCGGUAGUCC